AAUAGAUACCCGGUAGUCCAUGCCGUAAACGAUGUCUACUAGCCGUUGGGGCCCUUGAGGCUUUAGUGGGCGCAGCUAACGCGAUAAGUAGACCGCCUGGGGAGUACGGUCGCAAGACUAAAACUCAAAUGAAUUGACGGGGGCCCGCACAAGCGGUGGAGCAUGUGGUUUAAUUCGAUGCAACGCGAAGAACCUUACCUGGCCUUGACAUACAGAGAACUUUCCAGAGAUGGAUUGGUGCCUUCGGGAACUCUGAUACAGGUGCUGCAUGGCUGUCGUCAGCUCGUGUCGUGAGAUGUUGGGUUAAGUCCCGCAACGAGCGCAACCCUUUUCCUUAUUUGCCAGCACUUCGGGUGGGAACUUUAAGGAUACUGCCAGUGACAAACUGGAGGAAGGCGGGGACGACGUCAAGUCAUCAUGGCCCUUACGGCCAGGGCUACACACGUGCUACAAUGGUCGGUACAAAGGGUUGCUACUGCGCGAGCAGAUGCUAAUCUCAAAAAGCCGAUCGUAGUCCGGAUCGCAGU
rnacentral:rRNA from 1 species